UACGGAGGAUGCGAGCGUUAUCCGGAUUUAUUGGGUUUAAAGGGUGCGUAGGCGGACGCUUAAGUCAGCGGUAAAAUUGCGGGGCUCAACCUCGUCGAGCCGUUGAAACUGGGUGCCUUGAGUGGGCGAGAAGUAUGCGGAAUGCGUGGUGUAGCGGUGAAAUGCGUAGAGAUAUGGAGGAACACCAGUGGCGAAGGCGGCUUCCUGGUCUGCAACUGACACUGAGGCGCGAAAGCGUGGGGAGCAAACAGG
rnacentral:rRNA from 1 species